rnacentral:rRNA from 1 species
UACGUAGGGUGCGAGCGUUGUCCGGAUUUAUUGGGCGUAAAGAGCGUGUAGGCGGCCCGGUAAGUCCGCUGUAAAAGUCAAAGGCUCAACCUUUGAAUGUCAGUGGAUACUGCCGGGCUAGAGUCCGGAAGAGGCGAGUGGAACUCCUGGUGUAGCGGUGGAAUGCGCAGAUAUCAGGAAGAACACCAACGGCGAAGGCAGCUCGCUGGGACGGUACUGACGCUGAGACGCGAAAGCGUGGGGAGCGAACAGG